rnacentral:rRNA from 1 species
UGUGACUCCUACGGGAGGCAGGCAGUGGGGAAUAUUGCACAAUGGGGGAAACCCUGAUGCAGCCAUGCCGCGUGUGUGAACGUAAGGCCUUCGGGUUGUAAAGCACUUUCAGUAGGGAGGAAGGUAGUGUAGUUAAUACCUGCAUUAUUUGACGUUACCUACAGAAGAAGCACCGGCUAACUCCGUGCCAGCAGCCGCGGUAAUACGGAGGGGUGCGAGCGUUAAUCGGAAUUACUGGGCGUAAAGCGCAUGCAGGCGGCCUGUUAAGUCAGAUGUGAAAGCCCCGGGGCUUAACCUCGGAAUUGCAUUUGAAACUGGCAGGCUAGAGUCUUGUAGAGGGGGUAGAAUUCAGGUGUAGCGGUGAAAUGCGUAGAGAUCUGAAGGAAUACCAGUGGCGAAGGCGGCCCCCUGGACAAAGACUGACGCUCAGAUGCGAAAGCGUGGGGAGCCAAACAGGAUUAGAUACCCCUGGUAG